UCACUCCAUAGCCAGGCCAGGCGAAAAAGCGGAUACCUUCAACCGCCUUGGAGUGACCUUUCUUGAAGG
rnacentral:sRNA from 1 species